UACGUAGGGCGCAAGCGUUGUCCGGAAUUAUUGGGCGUAAAGAGCUCGUAGGUGGUUUGUCGCGUCUGUCGUGAAAGCCCGGGGCUUAACCCCGGGAGGCGGGUGGAUACUGUCUAGCUCGAGUCCGGAAGAGGAGUGUGGAAUUCCUGGUGUAGCGGUGAAAUGCGCAGAUAUCAGGAGGAACACCAAUGGCGAAGGCAGCACUCUGGGACGUGACUGACGCUGAGACGCGAAAGCGUGGGGAGCAAACAGG
rnacentral:rRNA from 1 species